UGCAGAGUCACCUGUACACACCUCACAGCCUUAUUAGCAUAAUCGGAACCUUUCUGGUUUUUAUAUUCACGAAAGAAUGAAAAUACCCGAGAAAGUCAAAACUUCGUAUAUCUCGGGAUUUUAACGAGACCAGUCUAAUACUCGUGAAAAUCGAGAGGGGAGUUUAAAUGGAAAAAGUAAGUAAAAGUUUUUGUUUCUUAUAUUGGCUAGCUUUUAAAUUAUUUAAAGUUGCAGAAUAAUUGUUUAUUAAUGUGAAGUCGAAGUUUGGGGUGAUUAGCCUUAUCUCGUUAAAUUUUGUUCAGCAUGAAACAGUCUGAACAGCAAUCCUCGAUUUUGUCAACAAUCUAAAACGUGCUAAGGAGUAGUCAUUCGUCGAUUUACCUGCGGCUUCCAGAUGAUCUGAAGAUCGGGAAUAUAGAAAAUGUUGUCAAUUUGAUAUUGCUAAUGACCCAGUCAUGUCUGCUGAAGCCAAGAAGUUUCCAGACCAUGACAUUCAUGAAUAUUUCUUGAAUGGAAUGCAUGAGGAUUAGAAUGGAACCUUAUUCUGCCUUUUUGCCAACUCACACCAUCUUUUCAAGAUUUAUGGAGCCAACCACAGAAGAAUUUGUUCUUUACACAUCAUUUAUAACAUUCUUAUUUUAAUAUGUUGCAUAACUUUACAUAAAUAGUGCCUGUUUGGGAGGGUAACAGUUGAAAUUGACACCCCGAGAAAACCAUUGUCAACCGACGCAAAGCAGAGGUUGACAAUGGUUUUUACGAGGGGUGUCAAUUUCAACUAUUAUCCUCCCAAACAGGCACUUUUUAUUUUGUUAUACUGAAUGUCUUAAUUUUUAAGAAAAUUUUACUGCUUUUAUAUAGGAAUAAUGUGAAUUCUACAGCUAACCGUAUGCGCAUAAUUUUCGCGCAUGUAACAAUUUUUAAUGUUACCCGUUGCUAAGUGCAUUGCUAACGCUGAGGGUAAUAGAAAGGAUUAUGAACUGCCUCUUAACCAAUCAGAUUUCAGUAUCUAACAUGAACGUAUAACAAUGAAUGUUACUGGAUGAAUUGUGUUCACAUAAUGAAUACCAGCAAACUUUUUAUCGAGUGCACUUAAUUUGUAUUUUUCCUACCCAUCCAUCUAACAUAUGUUUUUAUAUAACAUAUUCAUAUACAUGUAACAUUUUUGGAAACAGCUAUUUUUUUUCAAAUUGGAAUUUAGCCUUACUAUUUUAUACAAGUUUUUUUUAAAGGGACUUGGACACGAUUUUAGAUCAAAAUUUUGUUUUCAAUUUCUUUAUGCAUAAAAUGAUUUACUUGCACAUUUUGAAUAAUUGACCAUAAUUUGAAUGUUAGAAGUCAAGUUAUAAGAGAGAUACAGGGUAAGAAUUUAGUUAUGUAAACAAAGCUCGAGUCUUAUGUUUGUUUACAAAUGAUAUAAAGUAUGAAAUUACCACUUCUUUGAGAAAAUGAUUCGUAGAAAAGAAGGUAAACUGAUUCGAUGUGAUCAUAAAUGAUAUUAUUAAUAGAAAAAAGCAACAUUUGAAUGAAACUUACACCAAUAAAACACAUAUGUAAAUAUUAACAAGACUCGCGCUUUGUUUACAAAACAAAGAAUAUUUAAUUCUUAAUCUUUCUUUUAACUCAGUAUUUGACUUUCAAAUUUUGACAAAGCAUUAAAAAUACCCAUAUCAACCAUUCUAAAUAUUGAAAAUGGAAAUAUGAAAUUUUAAAUUUUAAGCUCAAAUUGUGUCUAAGUCCCUUUAAUAUACUCUUUUGUAUACAAACAGAACAAAAAUACUUAGUUACAAUGGGAAAUGGACAUAAUAUAUAUAAAAGUGUCUGAUAAAAGUAUAGGUCUUGUUCAUGAACAGAAGAAAUUGACAGAAAAAUAUUCAGUUUUAGCCAUGAAAUACAAAUAUUAAUAUUUUUUAAGAAUAUUAUUUAAUCUAAAUAAGUUAUAAAAGGUUUUUUUCCUUUAUUCCAAUGUUUGGAAACAAAUCCAAUAUAUAAUUAAAAUUGCUGUACAGUAUAUCCUAUUGAUUCCUAUAAUAUAUCACUUUAGUUUCUUGAACAUCAUGUUUAUAAUAUUACUUUUUUUCUUAAAAUGAUGUAUACAAGGUCAUUCAUUUAUUUUCAUUAUAUUCAACUAGAUACAAAUAGGCGUUCUGCAACCUUUUCAUUGUUUAAAUGGUAUGGAGUUUUAAUUACCUUUCAUAUGAAAAAUGACAUCUAAAUCUUAAAUUGCUGUACAUUAUAUCCUAUCCAUCUAAUGUAUCACGUUAUUAAUGUUGAACUUCGUGUCUAUUAGUAUAAUGAGUUUUUUAGAAUGACAUAUGCAAUUUCAUUAAUUUAUUUUUCAUUUUAAGAAAAUUCAUUUUAAAAAAGAUCUCUUACAACCUGUGUAUUUUUUUUUCAGUUCACAUAACACAGUGUAUUAAUUGAAUGUAGUUGUGUAGAUUUAUACAUGUACCUACAAGCAAUAUACAUUUAAUAUUCACCAGGUACAUGUACCAGCCUACUAUAUUUGAUAAAUAAAUGUACUUCUUUCAUGCCUUUUUCAUGCCUUUUACUCAUUGUUAUAUGUAUUAUUUAUAAUUAAAAUACUUUGAAAACUUUU